rnacentral:rRNA from 1 species
AGGGUUUGAUCAUGGCUCAGAACGUACGCUGGCGGCACGCCUAACACAUGCAAGUCGAACGAAGUAGCAAUACUUAGUGGCAGACGGGUGAGUAACAUGUAGGUAUCUGCCCUUUGGCCUGGAAUAACACGAGGAAACUUGUGCUAAUACCGGAUAAGUCUUUACGGAGAAAGCUUUAUGCACCAUUGGAUGAGCCUGCACUUGAUUAGUUUGUUGGUGGGGUAAUGGCCUACCAAGACUGUGAUCAAUAGCUGAUUUGAGAGGAUGAUCAGCCACAUUGGGACUGAGACACGGCCCAAACUCCUACGGGAGGCAGCAGUGGGGAAUCUUGCACAAUGGAGGAAACUCUGAUGCAGCGAUGCCGCGUGAGUGAAGAAGGCCUUUGGGUUGUAAAGCUCUUUCGUCGGGGAAGAAAAUGACUGUACCCGAAUAAGAAGGUCCGGCUAACUUCGUGCCAGCAGCCGCGGUAAUACGAAGGGACCUAGCGUAGUUCGGAAUUACUGGGCUUAAAGAGUUCGUAGGUGGUUGAAAAAGUUGGUGGUGAAAUCCCAGAGCUUAACUCUGGAACUGCCAUCAAAACUUUUCAGCUAGAGUAUGAUAGAGGAAAGCAGAAUUUCUAGUGUAGAGGUGAAAUUCGUAGAUAUUAGAAAGAAUACCAAUUGCGAAGGCAGCUUUCUGGAUCAUUACUGACACUGAGGAACGAAAGCAUGGGUAGCGAAGAGGAUUAGAUACCCUCGUAGUCCAUGCCGUAAACGAUGUGUGUUAGACGUUGGAAAUUUAUUUUCAGUGUCGCAGCGAAAGCGAUAAACACACCGCCUGGGGAGUACGACCGCAAGGUUAAAACUCAAAUGAAUUGACGGGGACCCGCACAAGUAGUGGAGCAUGUGGUUUAAUUCGAAGAUACGCGCAGAACCUUACCAACACUUGACAUGUUCGUCGCGACUUUAAGAGAUUAAAGUUUUCGGUUCGGCCGGACGAAACACAGGUGCUGCAUGGCUGUCGUCAGCUCGUGUCGUGAGAUGUUGGGUUAAGUCCCGCAACGAGCGCAACCCUCACUUUUAGUUGCCAUCAUUAAGUUGGGCACUCUGAAAGAACUGCCAGUGAUAAGCUGGAGGAAGGUGGGGAUGACGUCAAGUCCUCAUGGCCCUUACGUGUUGGGCUACACACGUGCUACAAUGGUAUCUACAACAGGAAGCAAGACUGCGAAGUUAAGCAAAUCCUUAAAAGAUACCUCAGUUCGGAUUGCACUCUGCAACUCGAGUGCAUGAAGCUGGAAUUACUAGUAAUCGUGGAUCAGCGUGCCACGGUGAAUGCGUUCCCGGGUCUUGUACACACCGCCCGUCACACCAUGGGAGUUGGUUCUACCUUAAGGCAAGGUUUAAAACCCUUGACCACGGUAUAGUCAGCGACUGGGGUGAAGUCAUAACAAGGUAGCCGUA